rnacentral:lncRNA from 1 species
AAAUGGUAUGGAUCAAGAUUAUUUUAACCAAAAACCAACCUAAGAUAUUGUUUAAUCAAAAGCUCCUCAAAUUUAAUGAUAAGGACAAAGAACAUAAAUUAUACACACGCUGGAUUACAAAGCCCAACACGCUCAAAUAUAACUUUCCAUAAUUGCCCCUAACGGAACAAAACUUAGCCCGUUAAAAACUUCAACAGAUCUACAAUCCUGCCCUACGUUCUAACCAGCUGUCAUAAAUGCAGAACCACUAAUUCAAGCCAUAACUUCCAUUUCGAUGUUCUGUUUCGCAAAACACAAGGGUCCUUUCAAAUGCCAAAAAUCUACAAAAAAAAGUUCAAAUUCAACUUCAAGAAAGAGAAAUUUCCAUUACCAAUUGUUCAUCCAUGACAUAAGAAGACUGGCUCAACAAUGAGGGACCACGUUGCGAGGCUGCUGGUAGUUAAGCGUAUCAUCUCUAUUGUUGAUGAACUCUGGCGAACAAAAUCGCACAACAAUAGAGAUGAAGAAGAAGAGUUUCUCUCUCUUCAUUCCCACCCAACGUAAUCUCACCCUUUCAUAAGUAAUUUUCUAUUAAAUUACUUUCCACUGAAACUGGUACAGCUAGCAUCCCAGUGCUCAACCUGGAAUUUGGUGUCGCCCAUCCCGAUCUAAUUGAUGGUGAAGUGGUUGGCCUUCC